CAGCUUUUGCAACACUGUGAAGCUGAAAGUGUAUCAUACCUGGAUGAGGUGGCCAGCAACACAGCAACUCAGGAUAUGGCACACACUCUGUUGGACUCGAGUUUUUUGCAACUCUGUAUAAACAUACCUGGAUGAGUUGGCCAGCAAUGGCAACUCAGGAUAUGGCAAAGUUUGUUGGACUCGAGGUUCCUGCAUUGCGGAAAAAAGCUUGGUAUAGAUUCAAGACAGUUAAAUGCUCCCUCCAAUAACUCCCUCCAAGGGGCAACUUGAGCUUAAUACAAAGCUCUUGACAAAUGCCGUCUUAUAUGCUUCAAAUUAUCUGUCAUUCAUCAUGAAGUAUGUUUAUAGGGUUUGUAUUUUCUGUAUGUAUUUUGUGUAGUGCAGGCAGUGUGUAAUGUUUUUUUGUAUGUAUGUGUAAAUUGUGUGUAUUUGUG